rnacentral:rRNA from 1 species
CCAAUAGCGUAUAUUAAAGUUGUUGCAGUUAAAAAGCUCGUAGUUGGAUUUGUGGCGUACGACGGGCUCCGGGCACUUGUUGUCUGAGUAGCUUGUCGUUGCCAUCCUUGGGUGGAACCUGUGUGGCAUUAGGUUGUCGUGCAGGGGAUGCCCAUCUUUUACUGUGAAAAAAUUAGAGUGUUCAAAGCAGGCUUAUGCCGUUGAAUAUAUUAGCAUGGAAUAAUAAGAUAGGACUUUGUCGCUAUUUUGUUGGUUUGCGCGAUAAGGUAAUGAUUAAUAGGGACAGUUGGGGGUAUUCGUAUUCCAUUGUCAGAGGUGAAAUUCUUGGAUUUUUGGAAGACGAACUACUGCGAAAGCAUUUACCAAGGAUGUUUUCAUUAA